GCUGUCAAAUGCUGCGCACAGCCUAUUGACGUCUUCAGUCAAUGAAACUUGCUCAUCCUUCCGACGAUCAAAUGACUUCGAAGAUUAACAUUUACUCAACUAGUUGUUCGUCGACACCCGGAAGCUUUAUUCUAUUAUUAAUUUGUCACAUGGCUGAGAGAUUGCAAUAACAACAAAAGAUGGCGACAAUCACGUUGUUCGGUGUGGUCUUGCUGCGUCAUAACAAAUAUUCAUGUAAACACGAGAAUGAAACGGGGAAUUUGCAACGCGAGGGCGGACCUGGAUCAAGGAGGAGUCUCCGCUAGAGGGCCUCGCGACUGGACUGCUGGAGAAGCUUCGCGCGCCGAGGGUGGAGCCCCGACAAUCAUAACAAGUCUUACGUCAGCCCUGUGGUUUGUAUAAAUUGUGCAUUUCUCAAACUGCCACAGAAAAUCUAAUUGUAGCCUAUUUUCUAUACACUGGACAAGCUCAGCCUACUAAUCGACAUGGAAGGUUGUUAAUUGGAUUUCUAAAUCUUAAAAGUGGAUAAAGGUUCACAUAUAUGAUAUCACAGGGGUCCAAUAACGUUUCAACAUCCACCACAUCUGUGAGGAUUAUUUUGAGACUGUUUCACUGUUUUGUAUUAGGUAGGCUUUUCCAUUAAGCAUAUGGAUUCAUGAAGACCUUAUGAAUCAACUCUUACCAAGAUGCAAGACUGUAAACCGCACAGACCAGAGGCACACUCCAAAUGCCUCUAUUUAUAGGAAGCCUAUUGGCGUUGUUCCAGUGACAACAUACCUUCCUGGGAUGCUGUUCCCAAGACUCCAGGUCUAGGCUGGCUCUAGGGAGACUGUUGGAGUUGAGUCAGGGAGCGUGGCUGUAGAUGUGACGGGCUUCCCUUGUUCAGUUAUCACAGUGCUGAUGCUGUCCGUAUUAAAGGUACAGUACUGUGAUAACUGAAGGAUGGCAGCCAACUGGACUGCGAUCAACAAAGCUGGAAAUGAGUCCCAAGGAAUGAACUGGCUACGGUUAAGAGAGUGAAAUACUGUUUUAAUGUCAAAGGCAAGCCAAUGUCAAUUCAAAGAAGCCAAUUCGAACGAAGAUGUUGAAUUGGUGUUGUUAUUGAUUGUGUACAAUGUCGCUCUUGCACAAUUGUAUUUGUACAAAAUGUUUAAUAAAGUUGAAACAUUG